UUGUCUCCCUGUAUAAACAGAUAGACGAGAAUCACCUUCAUCCCUCACACACCCUGUAUAUACAGAGAGACAAGAAUCACCUUCAUCCCUCACAUACCCUGUAUAUACAGAGAGACAAGAAUCACCUUCAUCCCUCACACAACCUGUAUAUAGGUUACAAACCACCAAAUAGAUUUGUUCUUUAGUUUAAUGUAAAGUGACAAUAGUCAGGCCCAAAUUUUGACAUGUUUUAGUCUAUAGCCACCUGGUUUACAUACAUCAUGUUAAAGAAGUACCUUUCAGCUUUAAAAUAAUCCAAUAAAAAAGGGGGGUCAUGUAUCUUCUUAAGGAGGCAGUACACCCCUUUAACAGAUUUCAGUUUGGCCGACACGUACCCUUCUAUGUUAAGCACACGGAUUCAACGUCAGCCACACACCUGAAAAAAAAUGCAUGCUUUGUUGAACUAGCAUAUCCCAUAGCAGCCCAAAACACCCCAAAAACAGCCAAUCAAACAACAUCUUAACCAAUACAUGCAGCAUGUAGUUAUUUGUUUUGGUCGCGAAAACAUAUGACAAAACCCCCCUAAAUCAUACAUCUUCAACUCAGAAUAAAAUUGCUAUUUAGGUUGCUAGCUCUCCACACAAUGCUUCGUUGGCUUCCUUAAACUAUGCCUAACUCACAAUUGGAUCCAAAAUAAUAGCGAUUCCCUGUCGUUUUUCCACAAUUUUCAU
rnacentral:sRNA from 1 species